GCGGACGGGUGAGUAAUGCUUAGGAAUCUGCCUAUUAGUGGGGGACAACGUUCCGAAAGGAACGCUAAUACCGCAUACGCCCUACGGGGGAAAGCAGGGGAUCUUCGGACCUUGCGCUAAUAGAUGAGCCUAAGUCGGAUUAGCUAGUUGGUGGGGUAAAGGCCUACCAAGGCGACGAUCUGUAGCGGGUCUGAGAGGAUGAUCCGCCACACUGGGACUGAGACACGGCCCAGACUCCUACGGGAGGCAGCAGUGGGGAAUAUUGGACAAUGGGCGCAAGCCUGAUCCAGCCAUGCCGCGUGUGUGAAGAAGGCCUUUUGGUUGUAAAGCACUUUAAGCGAGGAGGAGGCUCCUUUAGUUAAUACCUAAAGAGAGUGGACGUUACUCGCAGAAUAAGCACCGGCUAACUCUGUGCCAGCAGCCGCGGUAAUACAGAGGGUGCGAGCGUUAAUCGGAUUUACUGGGCGUAAAGCGUGCGUAGGCGGCUUUUUAAGUCGGAUGUGAAAUCCCUGAGCUUAACUUAGGAAUUGCAUUCGAUACUGGAAAGCUAGAGUAUGGGAGAGGAUGGUAGAAUUCCAGGUGUAGCGGUGAAAUGCGUAGAGAUCUGGAGGAAUACCGAUGGCGAAGGCAGCCAUCUGGCCUAAUACUGACGCUGAGGUACGAAAGCAUGGGGAGCAAACAGGAUUAGAUACCCUGGUAGUCCAUGCCGUAAACGAUGUCUACUAGCCGUUGGGGCCUUUGAGGCUUUAG
rnacentral:rRNA from 1 species